UGAAGUCAGUCGCGUUGUCCGGAACUCAGCCUUGCUUUUGCUUGGUGCACUUUCCGGAUGACGGGUCAGCAUCGAUUUUGACCGUCGGAAAAGGGCUGGAGUAAUGUGGCACCUCCGGGUGUGUUAUAGACUCUGGUCGCAUACGGCGGUUGGGAUCGAGGAACGCAGCGCGCCGCGAGGCAGGGGUUCGCCCACUUUCGCGCUUAGGAUGCUGGCAUAAUGGCUUUAAACGACCCGUCUUGAAACACGGACCAAGGAGUCUAACAUACUUGCGAGUGUUUGGGUGGAAAACCCGAGCGCGUAAUGAAAGUGAAAGUUGAGAUCCCUGUCGUGGGGAGCAUCGACGCCCGGACCAGACGUUCUCUGACGGAUCCGCGGUAGAGCAUGUAUGUUGGGACCCGAAAGAUGGUGAACUAUGCCUGAAUAGGGUGAAGCCAGAGGAAACUCUGGUGGAGGCUCGUAGCGAUUCUGACGUGCAAAUCGAUCGUCAAAUUUGGGUAUAGGGGCGAAAGACUAAUCGAACC
rnacentral:rRNA from 1 species